CUAAGAGCCUGAUCCAAAGUCCAUGGCCGCCAAUGGGUCUCUUUCCAUUGACUUCAGUGGGUUUUGGACCAGGCCCUAGGUUCC
rnacentral:miRNA from 1 species